UACAGAGGGGGCAAGCGUUGUUCGGAAUUACUGGGCGUAAAGGGCGCGUAGGCGGCCUUCUAAGUCGAACGUGAAAUCCCCGGGCUCAACCCGGGAACUGCGUCCGAUACUGGAAGGCUUGAAUCCGGGAGAGGGAUGCGGAAUUCCAGGUGUAGCGGUGAAAUGCGUAGAUAUCUGGAGGAACACCGGUGGCGAAGGCGGCAUCCUGGACCGGUAUGACGCUGAGGCGCGAAAGCCAGGGGAGCAA
rnacentral:rRNA from 1 species